GUACUGACAAACACACACGUGUGGUCAUAGCUGGGAUGUGCUCCUAAAACAUUCACAUGUGUGAAUAUUUCUCCUUGGGACCACUUCUGUCACCUUCCUCCCUUGUUCCAUAGACAGAGCUUGGAGGUUUGCUUUGGAUUUUCAAGAAUGAGCCAAGAGGAUUGUGGAGGGGGGCACACAAGGAAGCAAAAAUUGUCAAAACUGCUUUGAUAGGUCGAGCUUUAACUCUGAGAUAAAGAUUGGUACUUCAGAGUUUUUACUCUGCUGCUUGCAUGCUCUGACCCCGUGGGAUGCUUCGUGCCGUUCAUUAAUGCUUGCAGGAGCAUAAAGUCCUCCCAGCAGACUAAAUUAAAUGUCCUUUUCUAGUCGUGGGGAGCUCAUACCAUUGUCACAGUGGUAUCUGGUGUCUCUGUUUGGCCUUUGAGAGAACUUCACAAAGGGCUGUGACCCUGGGUUUUGCAGUGAGGCACCGGGUCAUUAAUUUUUUUGUUCCCUGAUUCCCUUGGGGUGGGAUCCAGGGCUGUGGUGGGCAGGGAUCCAGUCCUGAAGAUCUUACACAUGAAAAUGUUCCAGGGAGGAACAGAAGAAGAGUCUAAAGAGAAGAAAGAGAGAACUGCUCAGACUGCAGGGUGAGAUGGGAAGGGACAAAUGGGAGGGACAGUGGGGAUGGGCUCCUGUUGAUAACUGUCCCCAUGCUGUGGGAUGAUGUCCCAUGUGAGGGGGACUUUGUUGUUGGGAGGGCUGUGCUGGGGAGCCCCUCUUCCCAUGCCUGUUCUGUGAGUCCAGCUCUUUGUGUUCUCCCUGUAUUGCUCCUCCAGGAAUGGAGGGAGAAGGAAUCAUGUGGGAACAGGCAGCUGCUGCACAUGGGCUCUUACAGUGUGUCUCCAAUGUAUGAUGGAAAUUUUAGAGGGACUUGUGUGCUUUGGGGCUGUUGGUGUUCUGUUGUCACAUUUCUGUUACAAGCAAAGAGCUGCAGGGCAGGAAAGGACCUUAAGUUGUCUAAUCUGACCUCCUGCCCCAAGGCUGAGUCGGAUCUAUCCAAACUUUCCCAGCACAUGUUUGUCCAAAGCAGUUGUUAAAAGCCUCCAGUGAUGGAUUUUCCUCAUUGUCCCUGGGUGAUCCUAGAAAGCCUCUCAUUGUUCUUGCCAUUACCAAGAUUUUCCUGGUUUCUGACUUUGAUUUCUGUGCAGCAGUUGAGAAUUGCUGCCCUCUUGCCCUUUUGUUACUGUACAGAGUGAGCUGUUCAGUCCUUGGAGCUGCCUUUGGGAAUCUCUGAGCCGUGUCUCCCUUGAGCUGCAGUGUCAAAGCUUCCCUGGAGAGCUGUGUCUGAUACCUGCAUGGACUGAGCCAGCAAACACCAUUGUGUCACUCUCAAGUAGACUUUUGGGGUGUGAUUAAUGCAUGUUAAUUUUGGACAAAGCACUGGUGAAGUGUUUUGUCAUGGAAGCUUUUUUAUGGCUUUAUCUCUUUACCAACUAUAAGAACAGAGCACGUGCUUUUCUUGCUUUUCCACAGGGAUGUGUUCUGGAUCUCUGUUCCAGAAUAAUUCCUGGCUGUUCUGAGGUGAAGGAAGUCCUUGCCAGCUGCCCUGACCAAGGCUUUCCCCAUGAUUAACUCUCUUACAGCUCAGCCAUUGUGCUUUCCUGCUCUGACCUGCCAGCUGUAGCUCAGGAGUGACCUUCCCUUCUCCCUCCCUGCCGUGAUUGCACUCUGUUCAUCUGAUUUUGUACCUGCUGUCCCUUUGUUCCCCUGAAGGACUCAGCUAUUCAUGCAUUUCUAAAGCUGGUAAAAAGUGGAUGGGAAGAUUAUUCUGAGAGGUAGCACUCAAAUAUAAAACAUGUCAGAAAACAGAUCAGCCAGCACUAGAAGCAUUAUUUGCUAAGGUAAACUUUCACUUUUUUUUUUUUUUUUGGGAAAAAACCUCAAACCUGCCUGUAUGUGUUGUUCCAGGCAUUUUCUCUGGAUCUAUUAACGCCUCUAUCAUACCUUUCAGUGGGAGAGAGUAGGAUGUGUGUGUGAAAGGUUUGUCUGCACACAGAGGGCCUUUGUCCUGAGACAACUGAAGAAGCUCUUACCAAAAUGAAGGCUGGUCUGGACAGGUCUGAAACACCUUUUGGCAUCAACUUGUGUUUAUUGCUGUGGGAAGAGCAGGUAGGGAGGAGCAGUCUGGCUUUUUUAAAUUUUUUUUUUUGUUUGAGCUAUCUGUAUGUAUCUUUGAAUUCCUCAGUGUUCUUGCAGAGUUUUUGUAUGAUAACUUGUGUAAUGUGAGUCCCCAGUUUCUCUUUCCAAUUGCAGUGAAAGCUCUGGUGUUUCAUUCCUUCCUUUUUUUCCUCUGUCAGUUGCAGACACUGGGAUCUUUAGUCAUGUGGAAAGCAUUUUAUUGACAGCUUUAGAGUCUGAAGUACUUGCUAGCACUGAAGAGGUGUAAAGUGAUGUAGACUCUUGGGCAAAAUCCCUUUUCCAGUGUUCCUUGAUAAAGAUUUCUUAGAGCUGAAGAGUAAGUGAAGUGGCACAGGAGAUUUGAAGCUCUCAUCUGACCUCCUGCUCCAGACAGGGCCAGGAUCAAAGAUUUCUGAUGCUAGAAGGAACCACAGAGGUGAUGAGGCCUGCCCCUGUCCACGCUGACAAUUCAACUGAACAAGUCACACCAGAUUGAUCAGGAGUUCUGUAACGGGACAGUUGCGCCAUGACAGCUCCAGGAGAUCAAGAGGAAACAAACGUGAUGUGUUUAUGGAUCCCAAACAAAAUUAAACAAUUACCUGAACCCAGCCUUCGGAGCAGCCUUUGAACGAAUCCCAAGCCUUUUUCUGCAAGGGCUGGGAACAUAAAGAACGUGUCUAAUCUGUACUGCUAUCAGGCAGCAGCUAUCAGUGCCUACGUGCUGUUACUCAGAUCUCGUUAGCUGCCUAAUUGGAUAAUAGGCAGGACACUUCACAACUGCAUAAGUAUAUUAAGUUUAAUCUGCUCUGGAGCAGGGAGGGGAAGAUGGGCUCGGUGACAAAUGGGCACAAGAAGAUGCACAGAGGGGCAGGGGUGUAAAUAUGGGGCUGUGUCCCCAUCACUUCAGUCCCAGUAACUUUCUGAGGCAGAGGCUCUGUGUGUCUGCAGCAUUUACAUCACUGCUGGAGUCCCAGAGCAGUGUUAUAGCACUUUCAGACUUUACCCAUGUUGGCCAGGCAACUUCACCUCCAAAAGCACAGUUUUUCUAGUAGCUAAAUCCCUUUCUAACUUCUUUUUAAUAAAAAGUGUGAUAUAACUUAAUACCUGUUUUUAAAUCCAACAUGACAGAACAGAGAGAAGGAUCCUGUGUGUUUGUGUGAUACUGGACUUUGCAGCACAUUCCUGGUCCUAAAGCUUGUUUCCAGCACAUGCAGAUGCACAGUGGACAGGAUCAGAAAGCUUCCAGUGAUGUACAUGGAGAGGAGAAGCUGUUUGAAUAUUAAAUCCUCUACCCUUUCUUUCCUGAAAAAAGGCAGUUACUACAGUUACCCAGAUUAUUAAAUACUCUUCCCUUUCUUCCCUGAAAAAAUACAGUCACUCGAGUUACCCAGUUUUAAACUCUUGGAGUGGGUUGCCUCUUUCCAAAGGUGCAAUGAAACCUAUGUCAGAUUCUUGUAGAUGUGGGUAUGAGCUCAUUUCAUGAGUUGUCACCACCUGUUCUAUUCUCAGGAGAAGGGAUCUGCAGGGGACAAUUCUGGGUGCAAAAGAUGCAUCUGCCAAGGGGAUCUUUAGCUCAAGGUAAUGGGAGGGUGACUCUGUGAACUGUGUCCUCUCCUUUUUUUUUCUGGAUUCCCUUAGGACUGGUAGAGUGUUUUCACAGAAACCCCAAAUUGAACCCAAAUUUUGGCCCUAUAUCCUAUGUGAGAUGCCUACAGCUUUUCAUUCAUUUCUUGCUUAACCUCAUAGGAGAAGUAUCUUCACCUUGUGCUGUCCAGCAUCUGCCUGUAGCCAGGCAGGACAGACAUGAGCCAACCUCUUAAUCUCUUAAGUGUCUUAAGCAAAUGUAAACUCCAUUAAGUGUGUUUAUCACUGAGCAGCUCAUCCCCAGCUGUGCUGAGCACCUCGUGGUUGGUUUGAAUGGGAUGUACACAGAGGAUUCUCUGCUGCUCUGUCCUGACAUCUGUGUUUGUGACCAAAGGGUGAAGAGUGAGGCACUUGUGGGGUGCUUGGCACCUUAGUUAAGUGUGAGGACACUGUUCCACUGCACUGUGAAUUUAAAGCCUGCUGAUUUUCCCAUGGAAAAUGUUAUUUAAAAGCAGAACCCUAAAUUGCUUUUAUUUUGGAUGACGGGAAGACAGCGUGGGGUGUUUGGUCCAUUUUGGUGUAGACAAACUCCCAGGUGGAGGAACUGAAGAAUAGUCAUUGAAUACAGAAGAAUUCUUACGGUUGUCCACACCUGGUCUGGUGCCUGUACUAAAAGUGUGAUCAGCAGGGAAAACCAGUAUUUUUUCCCAAAGGGUAGCUCACAUCUCAGCAGCCAAAUUCCUGGAAGAGGCUCUGGAGAGAGCCUGUGUCCUUGUUUUGCUUACGUAGCCCCUCUGAGGCACUGCUGGGGGGUAGCUGCAGGUAACUCUUCCCUUCUGCUGCAAUUGGAGGCAUCCAGGAGAAAUGAAGGAGAGUGGGCUGCUACAGAUGGUCUCCCCAAAGUGUUGGAUGUGUUGAUAGCAUGUUUUCUGUAGCUAUACACACCAAUAUUGCCUUUAUCUCCACCCAAAUCUGCCAGGUAUUGAUGUGGACUCAAUCCGUCAUCAACUUCGAGUCGGGCUUGACUUCAACCUGUACUUAUUAAAGAGUGAAGAAGGCUCUGUCAUAUGCAGUUGAUAAGGGAAUUUAGAAAUAAAAGUGCAUAUUAAACUGUCAGUAGCAUUUUUUCCCCUCUUUAUCUGGAAAAAAAAUAAUGGCAUGGGUUGUUUUCUUCCUCCUGCGUGGGCAAUUUCUAGACAUGCCCAGCACUCGCAAAAUUGUUUUUCAAACCCAAGAUAACCUUUAGGGUGGUCCUGUCUGCCCCUGCCUGCUGAAGAUCAAACCCACACCCAGACAGGCAGGAAUCAAAAGCAGAACACCUGCUUGGUUGGUCUCUAGUGUAUUCUUUGCAGAAAGUUUUAAAAGUGUGUUUUAUCAGGACAAUGAGGAGGUGAUGUUAGUGACACCGUGGAUUUAUCCCACCCUUGUGGCUGAGCAUGGAUGAGCUGUCCUUGUAGAGGGAGCCACAGGAGGAUUGUGUCACUCUAGGUCUUCAUUAGGGUUGUUAAGCACUAUUUUAAGUUUCCUGAGCUUAAGUCACAGAAGAUCUGAUGUCUGGAGUGAAGGCCUGGCCUGUGGCAGGCAGUUCCUUUGGAAAGCUCUGCAAAGAUCCUCGUGUCUCUCCAAAGCAGUGCCCUGUAUUUCAGAAAGGAACAUUGUGAGCGAGGAGAGCGGGUUUCAGAUCACAUGUUCCCCAGCAAAUACUGUCCUUUCGAUAGGAAGACUUGUUGGAGAAUGUUAAUUGAGUCCCUUUUUAAAUGAAGGAGGCUUUGCUUCCUUCCCAAGUUUUCAAAACAAAUUUUCCAAAUACAGUGCCUAUGUUUCAUUCAAGUGUAAAUCCUUUCUCUUUAACCUGGAAGUUAU